AGAAGAAGAAGAAGAAGAAGAAGAAGAAGAAGAAGAAGAAGAAGAAGAAGAAGAAGAAGAAGAAGAAGAAGAGGCAGCCCCAACUGCUCAUCACUUAAAUAGCAGAAUAUGAGGACCCAGAUUAACCCUCAUUCUCAGAGGAACAGCAAGAUACACAAGUCAUAAAAACCAGCAAUAUUCACGCCUUCUCACCAGGCGCCAAGACACAACUGUCAAAGGGGAGUAUGAUGAGCUCUCCCGUUUUCUGCCUAGAGAAAACUUCCAGGCUGUGGACAUCUGCAAAGAUCCCCUGGUCCAGCCAAAUAGUGUAGCCCUCAUCAAGGAAACUUCUCUUCGUAACAGAUGGAGACCAUUACAGGAAGCCAUAGCCCAUCAAAAUGUAGUUACGCGAACCCCAGUCUCAAUGGAUGCAUCUACACCACAACUCCUGCACUCCAGGCUCAGGGAUGAUUGCUGAAGAUGGGUGAAAAGACUGUAAGGAACAGGCCCUUACUGUGAGACUGUUUUUUAGGACUAUCAGAAGCUACAAUGUGACUGCCUAAGCCUGUUGCUGAACAAGAACAAGAGACGUGUUAGCAUGAAUGAGAGAAAACCUCAACUCUACUCAAAGAGCUAUAGGCAACUAAGGAAUACUAAUAGUGGAAGAAAUAAUCUUCAGGGAAGAGCCACAAACUGGUUGUCCUGUACCUAAUGGUCAGACCUGGAAAUGUACAUACAGGUAGCAUUAUACAGAAUGAUCAGGUAAUACUUACACAUUUAGGAAUAAAGAUAUAGAUACACACAUACAAAUAUAUAGGUAACAUGUACACAUAUGCAUAUAUGUAGGUAACAACAAUUAAUUUAAAAAGAGGUCACGAAUUUGAAAGAGACCAAGGAAGUGUAUAUGGGAGGUUUUGGAGGGAGGAAAGGAAAGGAGAAAUGACGUAAUUGUAAUCUCAAAGAAAUAGGAGAAAUAAUAAUAAUAAUAGAGUGUGAAAAUGGUCAUCUACAUAUUAGAGUAUGAGUAUUGGCUAAUAUGCUAAAAAUAAAUACACGAGUUUAUAUACAUCUAAACUGACUUUUUAUACUUGUUCUUAGUGAAUAAAUAUAAAGGAUUAUGGUAAAAAAAAGAAUAUGAGAAUAGUGGCUAUUAUAUUUUCAAUAUGAAAUACCCCUUUGAGUUUGUGAGUUAAGCACUUGGUAGCAGGUAGCCUUUCAAGGGCUUUUCCAGUAGGAACUUCACUGGCAGUAAAGAGAUUAGGACAACCCCUUGAGGUUCAAUCUGACCCCUGUUUCUGGUUGUUCUUUCUCUGCCUACUGGUGUCCUGUGAGGUAGACAGCCACACACCCACACUUCUAUAAAGAGAGAUGCUCUGCUAGCCUUCCCUACCAUGACAAACUAAAGCCCUAUGAAAGCAUGAGCCAAAAUAUGUCCUUCUUACUUUAAAUUCCUUUGCUCAGAUGUUUUGGUCACAGUAACAGGAAAGUA